UGGGGAAUUUUGGACAAUGGGGGAAACCCUGAUCCAGCCAUCCCGCGUGUGCGAUGAAGGCCUUCGGGUUGUAAAGCACUUUUGGCAGGAAAGAAACGUCAUGGGUUAAUACCCCGUGAAACUGACGGUACCUGCAGAAUAAGCACCGGCUAACUACGUGCCAGCAGCCGCGGUAAUACGUAGGGUGCAAGCGUUAAUCGGAAUUACUGGGCGUAAAGCGUGCGCAGGCGGUUCGGAAAGAAAGAUGUGAAAUCCCAGAGCUCAACUUUGGAACUGCAUUUUUAGCUACCGGGCUAGAGUGUGUCAGAGGGAGGUGGAAUUCCGCGUGUAGCAGUGAAAUGCGUAGAUAUGCGGAGGAACACCGAUGGCGAAGGCAGCCUCCUGGGAUAACACUGACGCUCAUGAACGAAAGCGUGGGGAGCAAACAGG
rnacentral:rRNA from 1 species